UUUUUUACCGAGUCGCAGCUUACCAUGCAGNUCGAGCGGAGAUGAGGUGCUUGCACCUUAUCUUAGCGGCGGACGGGUGAGUAAUGCUUAGGAAUCUGCCUAUUAGUGGGGGACAACAUUCCGAAAGGAAUGCUAAUACCGCAUACGUCCUACGGGAGAAAGCAGGGGAUCUUCGGACCUUGCGCUAAUAGAUGAGCCUAAGUCGGAUUAGCUAGUUGGUGGGGUAAAGGCCUACCAAGGCGACGAUCUGUAGCGGGUCUGAGAGGAUGAUCCGCCACACUGGGACUGAGACACGGCCCAGACUCCUACGGGAGGCAGCAGUGGGGAAUAUUGGACAAUGGGGGGAACCCUGAUCCAGCCAUGCCGCGUGUGUGAAGAAGGCCUUAUGGUUGUAAAGCACUUUAAGCGAGGAGGAGGCUACUGAGACUAAUACUCUUGGAUAGUGGACGUUACUCGCAGAAUAAGCACCGGCUAACUCUGUGCCAGCGCNNCNAGGUAAUAAAA
rnacentral:rRNA from 1 species